rnacentral:rRNA from 1 species
CCUACGGGAGGCUGCAGUCGAGAAUCAUUCACAAUGGGGGAAACCCUGAUGGUGCGACGCCGCGUGGGGGAAUGAAGGUCUUCGGAUUGUAAACCCCUGUCAUGUGGGAGCAAAUUAAAAAGAUAGUACCACAAGAGGAAGAGACGGCUAACUAUGUGCCAGCAGCCGCGGUAAUACAGAGGUCUCAAGCGUUGUUCGGGAUCACUGGGCGUAAAGCGUGCGUAGGCUGUUUCGUAAGUCGUGUGUGAAAGGCGCGGGCUCAACCCGCGGACGGCACAUGAUAGUGCGAGACUAGAGUAAUGGAGGGGGAACCGGAAUUCUCGGUGUAGCAGUGAAAUGCGUAGAUAUCGAGAGGAACACUCGUGGCGAAGGCGGGUUCCUGGACAUUAACUGACGCUGAGGCACGAAGGCCAGGGGAGCGAACGGGAUUAGAUACCCUAGUAGUC